AUUGAACGCUGGCGGCAUGCCUUACACAUGCAAGUCGAACGGCAGCGGGGGAGAAGCUUGCUUUUCCUGCCGGCGAGUGGCGAACGGGUGAGUAAUACAUCGGAACGUGCCCUGUAGUGGGGGAUAACUAGUCGAAAGAUUAGCUAAUACCGCAUACGACCUGAGGGUGAAAGUGGGGGACCGCGAGGCCUCAUGCUAUAGGAGCGGCCGAUGUCUGAUUAGCUAGUUGGUGGGGUAAAGGCCUACCAAGGCGACGAUCAGUAGCUGGUCUGAGAGGACGUUCAGCCACACUGGGACUGGGACACGGCCCAGAGUCCUACGGGAGGCAGCAGUGGGGAAUUUUGGACAAUGGGCGAAAGCCUGAUCCAGCAAUGCCGCGUGUGUGAAGAAGGCCUUCGGGUUGUAAAGCCCUUUAAGCCGGGACGAAAAAAUCGGCGAUAACAUCGCCGGUCUUGACGGUACCGGAAGAAUAAGCACCGGCUAACUCUGUGCCAGCCGCCGCCGUAA
rnacentral:rRNA from 1 species